AUUGAACGCUGGCGGCAGGCUUAACACAUGCAAGUCGAACGAGUGGCGGACGGGUGAGUAAUGCUUGGGAAUCCAGCUUAUGGAGGGGGAUAAACACGGGAAAAUGUAGCUAAUACCGCGUACAAUAGGAUGAGCCCAAGUGGGAUUAGGUAGGUGGGGAGGGAAAGGCUCACCAAGCCGACGAACUCUAGCUGGUCUGAGAGGAUGACCAGCCACCCUGGUACUGAGACACGGCCCAUCUUCCUACGGGAGGCAGCCGUGGGGAAUAUUGCGCAAUGGGGGCAACCUGACGCAGCCAUGCCGCGUGGAUGAAGAAGGCCUUCGGGUUGUAAAGUUCUUUCGGUAGCGAGGCGUUAACUACAGAAGAAGCACCGGCUAACUCCGUGCCAGCAGCCGCGGUAAUUC
rnacentral:rRNA from 1 species